rnacentral:rRNA from 1 species
UACUGCUCAGUAACACGUAGUUAACUUCCCCUUAAGUCAGGGAUAUCCUCGGGAAACUGAGGUCAAUACCUGAUAGGAGAUAUGGCCUGGAACGGUAUUUCUCUCAAAUUCGAGCUUAAGGAUAGGACUGCGGCUGAUUAGGUAGUUGUUGGGGUAAUGGCCCAACAAGCCGAUGAUCAGUAGGGGCUCUUAGCGGAGUCGCCCCGAGAAGGAAUCUGAGACACUAUUCCUAGCUCUACGGAGCGCAGCAGUCGCGAAUCUUUUGCAAUACACGAAAGUGUGACGAAGCGAGCCAAAGUGUUUUCCGCGCAGGAAAACUUUUGCCAGCUGUAAACAGGCUGGCGAAUAAGGACUGGGUAAGACUGGUGCCAGCCGCCGCGGUAAUCCCAGCAGUCCAAGUUGCAGCCAGCUUUAUUGGGUCUAAAACAUCCGUAGCUUGUUUAACAAGUUUCUUGUGAAAUCUGGCAUCUUAAGUGUCGGACGUGCAAGAAAUACUGUUAGGCUUGAGACCGGUAGAUGUAAGGAGUACACUUAAGGUAGUGGUAAAAUACGUUAAUCUUAGGUGGACUAACAAUCGAGCGAAGGCACCUUACAAGGACGGAUCUGACAGUGAGGGAUGAAGGCUAGGGGCGCAAAACGGAUUAGAUACCCGUGUAGUCCUAGCAGUAAACACUGCUCACUAAACAUCGGGCUCUCUUCGGGAGAAUUCGGUGCUGUAGCGAAGGCGAAGAGUGAGCUACCUGGGAAGUAUAGUCGCAAGA